rnacentral:lncRNA from 1 species
GGGUCUCACUCAAAUUUUGUGUCAAAGUUAGCCACUCAAUUCAUUUUUUCCAACAUUGGUUUGGUACCGAAUCUUCCGUUUCCACCAACACAGAAUUUUGGCCGUGCUAUGAGUACGACAAACAGUGAAGAAAGCCUUCCGUUUCCACCAACACAGAAUUUUGGCCGUGCUAUGAGUACGACAAACAGUGAAGAAAGCGAUGGUCAACUGUUGUUCAGGCCAUGGAGGGAUCAACAUUUUGUCC